CAGUAGCCGCGGGAAUACGUAGGUGGCAAGCGUUGUCCGGAAUUAUUGGGCGUAAAGGGCUCGCAGGCGGUUUCUUAAGUCUGAUGUGAAAGCCCCCGGCUCAACCGGGGAGGGUCAUUGGAAACUGGGAAACUUGAGUGCAGAAGAGGAGAGUGGAAUUCCACGUGUAGCGGUGAAAUGCGUAGAGAUGUGGAGGAACACCAGUGGCGAAGGCGACACUCUGGUCUGUAACUGACGCUGAGGAGCGAAAGCGUGGGGAGCGAACAGGAUUAGAUACCCCAGUAGUCCCUGUCUCUUAUAC
rnacentral:rRNA from 1 species